rnacentral:tRNA from 1 species
GCCGGGAUAGCUCAGCUGGUAGAAAAAAAUA